rnacentral:rRNA from 1 species
GAUGAACGCUAGCGGCAGGCCUAAUACAUGCAAGUCGAACGGUGUCUUCGGACAUAGUGGCGCACGGGUGCGUAACACGUAUGCAACCUACCUUACAUUGGGGGAUAGCCUUUCGAAAGGGAGAUUAAUACCGCAUAAGACAGUAGCUGGGCAUCCAGCAGCUGUUAAAGAUUUAUCGAUGUAAGCUGGGCAUGCGUCCAAUUAGCUAGUUGGUGAGGUAACGGCUCACCAAGGCAAUGAUUGGUAGGGGAACUGAGAGGUCAAUCCCCCACACUGGAACUGAGAUACGGGCCAGACUCCUACGGGAGGCAGCAAUAGGGAAUAUUGGGCAAUGGACGCAAGUCUGACCCAGCCAUGCCGCGUGCAGGAUGAAGGCGUUAUGCGUUGUAAACUGCUUUUAUACAGGAAGAAACGACUCUUGCGAGAGGCAUUGACGGUACUGUAUGAAUAAGCACCGGCUAACUCCGUGCCAGCAGCCGCCGUAAUAC